rnacentral:rRNA from 1 species
GAUGAACGCUGGCGGCGUGCUUAAUACAUGCAAGUCGAACGAAGAGCUUUUGUAGCAAUACAGAGGUUUCUUAGUGGCGAACGGGUGCGUAACGCGUUGGUGACCUGCCCCGAAGUGUGGGAUAACAGUUCGAAAGGACUGCUAAUACCUCAUGUGGUCAUUGGGUUUAGAAGCCGAUGACUAAAGCAGUAAUGCGCUUCGGGAGGGACCUGCGUCCCAUCAGCUAGUUGGUAGGGUAGUGGCCUACCAAGGCGAUGACGGGUAGGGGACCUGAGAGGGUGGCCCCCCA